rnacentral:rRNA from 1 species
UAGGGAAUCUUCGGCAAUGGACGAAAGUCUGACCGAGCAACGCCGCGUGAGUGAAGAAGGUUUUCGGAUCGUAAAACUCUGUUGUUAGAGAAGAACAAGGACGUUAGUAACUGAACGUCCCCUGACGGUAUCUAACCAGAAAGCCACGGCUAACUACGUGCCAGCAGCCGCGGUAAUACGUAGGUGGCAAGCGUUGUCCGGAUUUAUUGGGCGUAAAGCGAGCGCAGGCGGUUUCUUAAGUCUGAUGUGAAAGCCCCCGGCUCAACCGGGGAGGGUCAUUGGAAACUGGGGGACUUGAGUGCAGAAGAGGAGAGUAGAAUUCCAUGUGUAGCGGUGAAAUGCGUAGAUAUAUGGAGGAACACCAGUGGCGAAGGCGGCUCUCGGGUCUGUAACUGACGCUGAGGCUCGAAAGCGUGGGGAGCAAACAGG